AUGAACAGAUUCAACUUUUGGAGACAUAUAGAAAAAUAGUCUUGGAAUAUAAACAAAAGGAUGCAGGGCAGGAGAACAGCCAACCCCCAGGACAGGACAGGAAGCCACAGGUACAAGCCGGGGGGAAGGAAAUCAGCCUUUAGAAUAGGACUCCAGAUGCAUCUGUAUUUUAUUUUCUUCCAGCGCAAAUAAAGACUGAUUUUGGAAGUAAAAGUCUCCGCCUGAUCGCUACCAUCAAAAAGAAUCCGUGAAGGCGGCGUACUUCUUCUUAUGACCCUCAGAGAGAGGAAAAAAAAAACAAUAGCAGUGGAGCGUCCUGGAGACCUGACGGUCUGGAUCAUCAGACUCCAGAGGUGCUGCUGUAAAUCAUGUGGUCAACCCUCCUUUUCUGUCAAGGAACUGAGUAACAGGAGGAGAAGAGUCUGGUGGUGCAGCAGAGGAACAAUUUCAGCCAUUUGGACUCAGCUCAGCCACUACAGAGGAAACAAUGACUUCAACACAAAAGGUGAGAAAAACAUCACAGUUACACUGUUAUUGAAACUAUGUGUACAGCUGGUUGGUUUUUAAAAACAUGUUAACAGCAGCUUUAUCUUUUCCAUCCUGGGCUCCUCCA